rnacentral:rRNA from 1 species
UACGUAGGGUGCGAGCGUUGUCCGGAAUUAUUGGGCGUAAAGAGCGUGUAGGCGGUUUGGUAGGUCCGUUGUGAAAACUCGAGGCUCAACCUCGAGACGCCGGCGGAAACCAUCAGACUAGAGUCCGGAAGAGGAGAGUGGAAUUCCUGGUGUAGCGGUGAAAUGCGCAGAUAUCAGGAAGAACACCCGUGGCUAAGGCGGCUCUCUAGUACGGUACUGACGCUGAGACGCGAAAGCGUGGGGAGCGAACAGG